rnacentral:lncRNA from 1 species
AUAUUUUGUCAUAGCAUUAUUUUGAUGUUCAUAAAAGAGGUUAGAGACUAAAUAAUUGAAAUGUGAAAAAUAGCAUUUGGUCGUCCUCCUCAUUAUAGUCUUCCUAGAAUCAAUAGCAUUUCGUUGGAAUACAUCCUAUCUUUUCACCAAAGAGCUACUCUAAAGCCUAUUUUAUUGGUCACUUUUCAGUUGAAAGGCUUUCAGUUUCAGAGAUCACUAUUUUUCAGGCCAAGACCGUAGGAAGUGGGGGGAACUUCCACUUAUCAUUCAGGAGCGGAAAGGGAAAGAUGAAUUAAGAGAAAUGUGCGAAACUUCGAUUGGCGGAAGCCAGUCCAUGAAGAUUCUCCCUUUUU